rnacentral:rRNA from 1 species
AGUCGAACGCGAAAGGGGAGCAAUCUCCGAGUAGAGUGGCGAACGGGUGAGUAAUGUGUGGGUAAUUUGCCUUUCAGAGGGGGAUAACCCGGCGAAAGCUGAGCUAAUACCCCAUGACAUUGCUUGGUCCUCGGAUCGAGUAAUCAAAGGAUGGCCUCUAUUUAUAAGCUAUCGCUGAGAGAUAAGCUCACAUCCUAUCACGCUUGUUGGUGGGGUAACGGCCCACCAAGGCGACGAUGGGUAGCCGGCCUGAGAGGGUGUCCGGCCACACUGGAACUGAGACACGGUCCAGACUCCUACGGGAGGCAGCAGUGGGGAAUUUUUCGCAAUGGGCGAAAGCCUGACGAAGCAACGCCGCGUGGAGGAUGAAGGCCCUCGUGGUCGUAAACUCCUGUCUAGCGGGACGAAAAUAUUCAGGGUGAAUAAUCCUGAGUAUUGACUGUACCGCUGGAGGAAGCUCCGGCCAACUCCGUGCCAGCAGCCGCGGUAAUACGGAGGGAGCAAGCGUUACUCGGAAUUAUUGGGCGUAAAGGGCGCGUAGGCGAUUCGGUGAGUCUCGUGUGAAAGCCCAGGGCUUAACCCUGGAAUGGCACGGGAUACUGUCGAAUUUGAGUUCCGGAGAGGAAGGCAGAAUUCCCGGUGUAGCGGUGAAAUGCGUAG